rnacentral:rRNA from 1 species
ACGAUGCUAGCUUGCUAGCAGGCGUCGAGUGGCGGACGGGUGAGUAAUGCAUAGGAAUCUACCUAGUAGUGGGGGACAACCUGGUGAAAACCAGGCUAAUACCGCAUAAUCCCUACGGGGCAAAGCAGGGGACCUUCGGGCCUUGCGCUAAUAGAUGAGCCUAUGUCGGAUUAGCUUGUUGGUGAGGUAAUGGCUCACCAAGGCAACGAUCCGUAGCUGGUCUGAGAGGAUGAUCAGCCACACUGGGACUGAGACACGGCCCAGACUCCUACGGGAGGCAGCAGUGGGGAAUAUUGCACAAUGGGCGCAAGC